rnacentral:piRNA from 1 species
UGAGACUUCAGGUCAACUCCACGCGCUUGU